rnacentral:rRNA from 1 species
UACGUAGGGGGCAAGCGUUGUCCGGAUUUAUUGGGCGUAAAGAGCUCGUAGGCGGCCGUCCACGUCGGGUGUGAAAGCUCGGGGCUCAACCCUGAGAGGCCAUUCGAUACGGGACGGCUAGAGGCAGGUAGGGGAGAUUGGAAUUCCUGGUGUAGCGGUGAAAUGCGCAGAUAUCAGGAGGAACACCGGUGGCGAAGGCGGAUCUCUGGGCCUUGCCUGACGCUGAGGAGCGAAAGCUGGGGGAGCGAACAGG